GAAGGGAGCUUGCUCCCGGAUGUUAGCGGCGGACGGGUGAGUAACACGUGGGUAACCUGCCUGUAAGACUGGGAUAACUCCGGGAAACCGGAGCUAAUACCGGAUAGUUCCUUGAACCGCAUGGUUCAAGGAUGAAAGACGGUUUCGGCUGUCACUUACAGAUGGACCCGCGGCGCAUUAGCUAGUUGGUGAGGUAACGGCUCACCAAGGCGACGAUGCGUAGCCGACCUGAGAGGGUGAUCGGCCACACUGGGACUGAGACACGGCCCACACUCCUACGGGAGGCAGCAGUAGGGAAUCUUCCGCAAUGGACGAAAGUCUGACGGAGCAACGCCGCGUGAGUGAUGAAGGUUUUCGGAUCGUAAAGCUCUGUUGUUAGGGAAGAACAAGUGCAAGAGUAACUGCUUGCACCUUGACGGUACCUAACCAGAAAGCCACGGCUAACUACGUGCCAGCAGCCGCGGUAAUACGUAGGUGGCAAGCGUUGUCCGGAAUUAUUGGGCGUAAAGGGCUCGCAGGCGGUUUCUUAAGUCUGAUGUGAAAGCCCCCGGCUCAACCGGGGAGGGUCAUUGGAAACUGGGAAACUUGAGUGCAAAAGAGGAGAGUGGAAUUCCACGUGUAGCGGUGAAAUGCGUAUAGAUGUGGAGGAACACCAGUGGCGAAGGCGACUCUCUGGUCUGUAACUGACGCUGAGGAGCGAAAGCGUGGGGAGCGAACAGGAUUACAUACCCUGGUAGUCCACGCCGUAAACGAUGAGUGCUAAGUGUUAGGGGGUUUCCGCCCCUUAGUGCUGCAGCUAACGCAUUAAGCACUCCGCCUGGGGAGUACGGUCGCAAGACUGAAACUCAAGGAAUUGACGGG
rnacentral:rRNA from 1 species